CCUACGGUCGGCUGCAGUGGGGAAUAUUGGGCAAUGGGCGCAAACCUGACCCAGCAAAGCCGCGUGAAGGAAGAAGGCUUUCGGGUUGUAAACUUCUUUUAAGAGGGAAGAGAAGAAGACGGUACCUCUUGAAUAAGCCACGGCUAACUACGUGCCAGCAGCCACGGUGAUACGUAGGUGGCAGGCGUUACCCGGAUUUACUGGGUGUAAAGGGCGUGCAGCCGGGCUGACAAGUCAGAUGUGAAAUCCAGGGGCUCAACCGCGGAAGUGCAUUUGAAACUGUGAGUCUUGAGUACCGGAGAGGUCAUCGGAAUUCCUUGUGUAGCGGUGAAAUGCGUAGAUAUAAGGAAGAACACCAGUGGCGAAGGCGGAGGACUGGAGGGCAACUGACGGUGAGGCGCGAAAGCGUGGGGAGCAAACAGGAUUAGAUACCCUGGUAGUC
rnacentral:rRNA from 1 species